AACUUUCAACAACGGAUCUCUUGGUUCUGGCAUCGAUGAAGAACGCAGCGAAAUGCGAAAAGUAAUGUGAAUUGCAGAAUUCAGUGAAUCAUCGAAUCUUUGAACGCACAUUGCGCCCACCAGUAUUCUGGUGGGCAUGCCUGUCUGAGCGUCAU
rnacentral:rRNA from 4 species